rnacentral:rRNA from 1 species
AGUGAACGCUGGCGGUAGGCCUAACACAUGCAAGUCGAACGGCAGCACAGGAGAGCUUGCUCUCUGGGUGGCGAGUGGCGGACGGGUGAGGAAUACAUCGGAAUCUACUCUGUCGUGGGGGAUAACGUAGGGAAACUUACGCUAAUACCGCAUACGACCUACGGGUGAAAGCAGGGGAUCUUCGGACCUUGCGCGAUUGAAUGAGCCGAUGUCGGAUUAGCUAGUUGGCGGGGUAAAGGCCCACCAAGGCGACGAUCCGUAGCUGGUCUGCGAGGAUGAUCAGCCACACUGGAGCUGAGACACGGUCCAGACUCCUACGGGAGGCAGCAGUGGGGAAUAUUGGACAAUGGGCGCAAGCCUGAUCCAGCCAUACCGCGUGGGUGAAGAAGGCCUUCGGGUUGUAAAGCCCUUUUGUUGGGAAAGAAAUCCAGCUGGCUAAUACCCGGUUGGGAUGACGGUACCCAAAGAAUAAGCACCGGCUAACUUCGUGCCAGCAGCCGCCGUAA